CGGGUGAGUAACACGUGGAUAACCUACCUAUAAGACUGGGAUAACUUCGUGAAACCGGAGCUAAUACCGGAUAAUAUUUUGAACCGCAUGGUUCAAAAGUGAAAGACGGUCUUGCUGUCACUUAUAGAUGGAUCCGCGCUGCAUUAGCUAGUUGGUAAGGUAACGGCCUACCAAUGCAACGAUGCAUAGCCGACCUGAGAGGGUGAUCGGCCACACUGGAACUGAGACACGGUCCAG
rnacentral:rRNA from 1 species